CAAUGCCAGACGGAGACUGGGUGCCUCCAAACAUGAUGGCCCCAGAAAUAUUGCAGUUCACUGUUACACCUGGCAUCACUGUAACAGUGUACGACUGCAAGCCCAUUAGUUUUUUUGAGCUCUUUAUGUCAGACGAUAUAUUUUGAGCUCAUGGCUCAGCAAAUGAAUUUGUUUGCCAUGCAGUAUCUCUCUGCACAUCUGGGGUCCCAUUUUAGUCGAAGGAAUAUGUGGCGACCCACGGAUGUUGCAGAGAUGAAGCGGUUUGGGGCUUUAACCCUAGUGAUGGGUAUAGUUAAAAAGCAGAGUAUCAGGUCCUACUGGAGCAAGCAAUGCAUCCUGGCUACCCCUUUUUUCACUGAGGUUAUGUAGAGGGAUCGCUACCUGCAACUGCUGCAAUUCCUUCAUUUUAAUGAUAACUCACUGUGUCCCCCUAGAAACGACCCACUGUUUGACAGGCUUUAUAAAAUUCGGCCUUUUAUUCAACUCCUGUCAGAAAAUUAUGCCCCCUGAAAAAAAUAUUUCAAUUGACGAAUCCCUAAUGAAAUUCAAAGGUCGACUACUCUUUAAACAAUAUAUACCAUCUAAGCGG